GCGGAGUUGGACCUUCCAAACGCACCAAUUUCUUGCCUUUUACCAGAGAUUGCCGUGGAAUGGCCAAACACACUCCGUUGCAUAAAUCUUUGGAAUCCUCUGAAUUCGAUU
rnacentral:snRNA from 1 species